rnacentral:rRNA from 1 species
UGGGGAAUAUUGCACAAUGGGGGAAACCCUGAUGCAGCGACGCCGCGUGAAGGAAGAAGUAUCUCGGUAUGUAAACUUCUAUCAGCAGGGAAGAAAAUGACGGUACCUGACUAAGAAGCCCCGGCUAACUACGUGCCAGCAGCCGCGGUAAUACGUAGGUGGCAAGCGUUGUCCGGAAUUACUGGGCGUAAAGGGUGCGUAGGUGGUUUGCCAAGUUGGCAGCGUAAUUCCGUGGCUUAACCGCGGAACUACUGCCAAAACUGGUAGGCUUGAGUGCGGCAGGGGUAUGUGGAAUUCCUAGUGUAGCGGUGGAAUGCGUAGAUAUUAGGAGGAACACCGGUGGCGAAAGCGACAUACUGGGCCGUAACUGACACUGAGGCACGAAAGCGUGGGGAGCAAACAGGAUUAGAUACC